CAGUCGCCGCGGUAAUCCGUAGGUCCCGAGCGUUGUCCGGAUUUAUUGGGCGUAAAGGGAGCGCAGGCGGUUUAGUAAGUCUGAAGUUAAAGGCAUUGGCUCAACCAAUGUAUGCCUUGGAAACUGUUAGACUUGAGUGCAGAAGGGGAGAGUGGAAUUCCAUGUGUAGCGGUGAAAUGCGUAGAUAUAUGGAGGAACACCGGUGGCGAAAGCGGCUCUCUGGUCUGUCACUGACGCUGAGGCUCGAAAGCGUGGGUAGCGAACAGGAUUAGAUACCCCCGUAGUCCCUGUCUCUUAUACC
rnacentral:rRNA from 1 species